GGAUGGGUCGCACCAAUAGGACGAACCAAAUGAGUUCUGACUUCUGCAUCAUGAACUUUGCAUAGCGGAAAUUACCUAGACGGUUUGUAGAAAGACCUAGGGAAGGAAUGGAGGAUUCUAGAAUGAAGAAAUCGGGCGUUGUAUGCACCAUAUCCAAGUUAUCCAGCCAAAGAAGCAAUGUCACUCCAUCGUUAUCAAACUGACUGCAAUCUCUUACUAUCCAUGAAGGUCCCCCACCAAAGUGCUUUCUACAGAUCAGAAUCAUUCUCAACAAGUGAUUGCUAUCCACUUUAACAAAUCCCAAGUACUAACUUCUCCACAGAACUGUUAAUUACAUGUCUGCCUUCAAUACCGUAACAACAAUACUAUUCGUCCAAAAUCCCAACAUAUCGAAACAAAAUUGCAGAUGGAAAACAACCACUUAUUUCUCAUAAGGAGGGGCUAGCUUGAAGCCUGAAAAUAUACAUAUAAUUAGUGAUAGAAAAAUGAAGAAAAACA
rnacentral:misc_RNA from 1 species